CUAAGGUAUGCAAGUCGAAUGCCGAUUUAUCGGCAUGGCAGACGGCUGAGUAAUACAUGGGAAUCUACCUCAAACUCGAGAAUAGCCCAUCGAAAGGUGGUGUAAUACUCGGUAGUUCCGUUUACGGUAAAGCUCCGGCGGUUUGAGAUGAGCCCAUGUCCUAUCAGGUUGUUGGUGGGGUAAUUGCCUACCAAGCCUAUGACGGGUAGCUGGUUUGAGAGGAUGAUCAGCCAGACUGGGACUGCGAUACGGCCCAGACUCCUACGGGAGGCAGCAACUAGGAAUCAUGCGCAAUGGACGAAAGUCUGACGCUGCGACGUCGCGUGAGGGAUGAAGGUCUUCGGAUCGUAAACCUCUUUUAUCUGGGAACAAGUUCUGAGUGUACCAGAUGAAUAAGUGCCUGCCAACCACGUGCCAGAAGCAUCGGUAAUGCGUGGGGCACGAGCGUUAUCCGGAUUUACUGGGCGUAAAGAGAUGCGUAGGCGCCUUUUUAAGUCACUUGUAAAAUCUCCCCGCUCAACGGGGAAACUGCAAGUGAUACUGAAUUGGUUGAGUCAAGUAGAGGAGAGGGGAAUUCCUGGUGGAGCGGUUAAAUGCGUUGAUAUCAGGAGGAAUACCAAGUGCGAAGGCACCUCUCUGGACUUGUACUGACGCUAAGGCUCGAAAGUGUGGGGAGCAAAACGGAUUAGAUACCCGUGUAGUCCACACUGUAAACGAUCCCUGCUAG
rnacentral:rRNA from 1 species